rnacentral:lncRNA from 1 species
AUCACACUCCAUGCUUUUGGGCGGAUUUGAGUCUUUGAACCAGCCAACGUAACAACAAGAUAUUCCAGUUUUGCUUCUGCUGGACCUGUCAUCACAGCAACAAUGUCAUCAUCAUCACUUGGAUAAACAGCAUCCCUGUUGAUUGGAGAUUCUACCCAUGGCCGAGCUACGUAUCUCUUCCUUCCUUCCCCUUUCUUAAAAUGUCCUCGUGUACACUUCAUGUGA